rnacentral:lncRNA from 1 species
CUUUUGAGUUCAGUAGUAGUAGCUGAUAAGUUGUGUUCUUCUAAUUCCCUGAUCAAAAUGGCCUCGAUUAGAGAUUUUGCCAAGAGAUAUGAAGCUGACUGCAGACACCUCAACCAAUUCUUUUCUGGAAAUGUUUCCCCGAACAAUGCGAGACCGGUCCUGGAGAUCUUCACCGCAAGGAGCAGCCAGGAGAUGAAGCAAAUCUGCAGGGCUUACAGCAGCAUGUAUCGCCAAGAUCUCAUCCAGCUACUGUCGCAGCAGAAGACCACCUUUGCAGUAAUCCCAGCUUCUGAUCCUCUUGUGUCAAAACAUAUUUCAAUCUUGUCUGGUUCGAUCGCCAUCAGGGUGGCGUGCCUCAGAGCUAGCGAGCCGUGCGUCCGCGACGCAGACAUCGCCAGGGACGCGCUGUUCGGGCGGCGGAUCGACGGCGACGUGCUCGUCGAGGUCGUGUGCACGCGGCCCUCCGGCGAGGUCGCGCUGAUCAGGCAGGCGUACCAGGCCCGGUACAGCGCCAGCCUCGAACGCGACGUCUCGUCGAGGACAAGCGGCAGCCUCAACGAGGUUCUUCUCGCGUUCUUGGGAUCGAGCGGGAGCGGCUACCAUGGCGGCCGGGUGGACGCGACGAUGGCGAUGUGCGACGCCAAGACGCUGUACGAGGCGGUGGAGAUCAGCGCGGCGCGGGUGGACCAGAGGAGCGUCCUGCAGCUGCUGCGCCACCGGAGCGGCGACCAGCUCAGGGCGGUGCUCGCGUCGUACAGGCGGCUGUACGGGCAGGAGCUCGCGCGGGCGCUGAAGAGGAAGGACGGCGACACCAGCGGCGGCGGCGGUGGCCGGCGAGGCGAGUCGUCGUCGUUCCCGGGCAUCCUCCGCGCGGCGCUGCGGUGCGCGCAGCUCCCCGAGAGGCACUUCGCGAGGGCGGUGCGCGCGGCGCUGGAGCGCGGCGGCGGCGCGGCGAGGGAGGCGCUGGUGCGGACCGUCGUGACGCGCGCGGGCGUCGACGUGCGCCGCGUCAACCAGGCGUUCGCGGCCAAGACCGGGUGGACGCUGGAGAGCGUCGUCCGGAACGAGUUCGGCAGCGGCGGCACCGGGAAGUCGGACGACGGCUUGACCGGCGACUUGCUCGUGGAGUUGCUCAAGUUGGCCUGAGGACAAGAGA